AGUGAACGCUGGCGGCAGGCCUAACACAUGCAAGUCGAACGGCAGCACAGUAAGAGCUUGCUCUUACGGGUGGCGAGUGGCGGACGGGUGAGGAAUACAUCGGAAUCUACUUUUUCGUGGGGGAUAACGUAGGGAAACUUACGCUAAUACCGCACACGACCUACGGGUGAAAGCAGGGGAUCUUCGGACCUUGCGCGAUUGAAUGAGCCGAUGUCGGAUUAGCUAGUUGGCGGGGUAAAGGCCCACCAAGGCGACGAUCCGUAGCUGGUCUGAGAGGAUGAUCAGCCACACUGGAACUGAGACACGGUCCAGACUCCUACGGGAGGCAGCAGUGGGGAAUAUUGGACAAUGGGCGCAAGCCUGAUCCAGCCAUACCGCGUGGGUGAAGAAGGCCUUCGGGUUGUAAAGCCCUUUUGUUGGGAAAGAAAAGCAGCAGGUUAAUACCCCGCUGUUCUGACGGUACCCAAAGAAUAAGCACCGGCUAACUUCGUG
rnacentral:rRNA from 1 species